CACCUGAGGAGGAGGAGGAGGAGGAGGAGGAAAAUAAGGGUGGUGAUGAAGGACAGAGGAAGGCAUUCUACUGCUGUCUCCCUUUCCUGCCCAACUCUGAAUCGCCCAAUCAAAGCCGCUGUCUCCUUUGGUUCGCCAAUCAAACGGUUUGGAAUUCAACAGCAAAGGAAAAGCUGCCAUGGAAACGGACACAGAAAGGGAAGCCGAAGGUGCACCCUGAUGGCUUCAACUUAAUUACUCAGCAAUUAAAUGGUUUGGAGAUUCUAACAAACUCUUUUUGGUUCAGCAGGGACAAACCUCCACUUAUACGGGUUUCAUACCUGGUCAGGGCUCUCACCAAUUAAAGAAGUUGACAGUCAAAGUUUUCUGCAUCAUCGCAGCCAUCCCUCCGUCAGCUCCAUCAAAGAUGAGCCUGCUCGAUGACAGGCGAGCAGCCGGAGGAAGCUGGAGGAAAACAGCCGCCUCAUUUACCAGCAUUACUAAUGGUGAAAAUAAAGAUAUCUGAAC
ensembl:lncRNA